rnacentral:rRNA from 1 species
GAUGAACGCUGGCGGCGUGCCUAAUACAUGCAAGUCGAGCGAACAGACGAGGAGCUUGCUCCUCUGACGUUAGCGGCGGACGGGUGAGUAACACGUGGAUAACCUACCUAUAAGACUGGGAUAACUUCGGGAAACCGGAGCUAAUACCGGAUAACAUGUUGAACCGCAUGGUUCAACAGUGAAAGACGGUCUUGCUGUCACUUAUAGAUGGAUCCGCGCCGCAUUAGCUAGUUGGUAAGGUAACGGCUUACCAAGGCAACGAUGCGUAGCCGACCUGAGAGGGGGAUCGGCCAAACUGAACUGAGACACGGUCCAGACUCCUACGGGAGGCAGCAGUAGGGAAUCUUCCGCAAUGGGCGAAAGCCUGACGGAGCAACGCCGCGUGAGUGAAGAAGGUCUUCGGAUCGUAAAACUCUGUUAUUAGGGAAGAACAAAUGUGUAAGUAACUAUGCACGUCUUGACGGUACCUAAUCAGAAAGCCACGGCUAACUACGUG